UCCCCCUCUCUUCUUUCCCACCUGAUCUUUCUAUCUUCUCCAUGUUAGUCCAACCAAGUUUUAUGCUAAACUUGAGUUUAUACUAUAAUUUUGGGAAAAAAAGGCCCUUAGCUCAGUCUGAAAUCUAAAAUAUUUUAGGGCAAGAUUCAAAAUUUUUCUAGGGCCAACAUAGAAAUUUAAUUUAUCUUGACCUAAUUCUAGCCAUAUGGACCUUACCGUUUUGUUUAU
rnacentral:lncRNA from 1 species